AUAGGUUUGCAAUUGCAAUGACAUAUUAUGGUAUAUCGAUGAAUGUCGCAAAGUUCAGUGGAGAUGUUUUUGUUAAUUUUGCUGCGUCAUCGUCAGCCGAAUUUUUUGGAAUAAUUUUCUGUUGGCUUGUAACGGACAGAGUGGGUCGUAAAGGCCUCUUCUGCACUGCUAUGAUUUUGGGAGGUGUGACGUGUAUAUGCACUAUAUUUACAUCUCUAUAUGCCGAUAAAUGUAAGUUAACUUGUUUGUUAUAUCUUUGUGCUAAAAGAAAAACGAAAACUCAUGUCCCUCAUGAUCAAUUUUGUGAAUUGUCUUAAGCAAAAUGUUUAAAGAACAUAAAGGUUUGAAGUAUGUAUUACAUAAACACUACUUGAAUAUAUUUUCUAUGUUUGUAUAAAUAGCAUUUGUUUGAUUAUACGCAAUUGAUUCUGUAAAUGAAGACUAAAAGUAGUGGUAUAUUAGAAUCAUGUCUAAAGCUUGCACCAGCAACUAAUGACAGAAUAAAAUAUUUAAACAAAAGUUCAAAGCCGUUUUGACUUAAUGAAAACAUGAAUGCAUUCUAAGCUAUAUAUAUGUAAUUGUGACGACAGCCUAAACAGAAUUGCAAUCAAUAUAUUUUUAAAUAAUUAAAUAGCGUACACAACACGAUAAGCAUUCUUAAAAGACAAAUGUCAACAUUAACAGAGCGAAUGUUAUCAUCGUUUAAAAAUGAAAGCUUAUACAUUUAUACCAUUCACAUAUAUAUUAUUCCUUUUUCAGCUUUGGUGUGGCUAACAACAACCCUUGCAAUGGUGGGAAAGUUUUUUUGUACCAUUACAUUUUUUGUUAUUUAUAUAUUCACUGCCGAGCUAUUUCCAACUGUUCUGCGUGCAUCUGUUAUUGGAGUUGCAAGCAUGACUGGUCGUGUUGGGUCAAUAUCAUCUGCAUAUGUAGGUGAAUUGGUAAGUUUGAUAGACACAUUCUGUUAAUCCAUAGUUCCAACAAACAAAGAUAAAUAUAGUUCAAUGAUCCGAUUAGACACUUCUGUAGUUUUAUCAGCGAUAGUAGAAUGAUCCUAAUGGAAACGACGGUUGUUUAUCAGCGAUAGUUGAAUAUUCCGAUUGGACACUAAUGUCGUUUUUUCACCGAUAGUUGAAUGAUCCGAAUGGACACUUUUAUCAUUUAUCAGCGAAAGUUGAAUGCUCCGAUUGGAAACUACUGUCGUUUAUCAACGAUAGUUGAUUAUUCAGAUUGGACAUGUCUGUCAUUUAUCAGCGAUAGUUGAAUAUACCGGUUGGACACUAUUGUGGUUUAUCAGCGAUAGUUGAAUGAUCCGAUUAGACACUUGUAUCGUUUUUCAAAACAGUUCAUAAUAUGAAUCAUUUUAAGCUGUAACUGAUUAUAAAAUAUAUACUUAAAUAAACGUCAGUAGCACGCACGAGAGAAUCGCUUAGAAAACUAUAUUAUUCUAUUUCUUAUCAAGGGUGACAUAAUACAGUCCAAGUUUGGAAUAGCACUUCCACUGAUCAUAUUAGGAGGGUUUGGAUUGAUUGCUGGGUUGUUAUCUCUGACCUUACCAGACACUACAAACACAUGUCUUCCAGAGUCUAUAGAUGAUGCAAAAGAAAUACAAGUCAGGUAAAGAAUCAUUUCUAGUGUCAUAGAACAAAACAGAACAAAUUAAAACAAAUAUUACGCUGAUACAUGUAAAAAAAUAUUAGAUUUCAGACAAAGAAAAAAACAAAUCGAGAUGUUUUCAGACCAUUUAAUGUCCAAGUUCAAACUUGAAAUAUAUAGAAGAGGAAAUGAUAUGACUAACAUGAACUCCUAAUAAGGAGAUCCAGUAUGAGUUUUCAUAGGUUGAAAAACAGAUACUGUAUGUUAUUUUUCAUGAAUCUUUAAACACUGCUUAACGGAAUCAUUGAAAUAUUUUAUCCUUGACGAUGGUUAUGAUAUGAAAUAACUAUCAGAUAUCACAAGACAACAUAAUUAAUAAAAUUUGCAGACAUGACAAAAAGUAAAACAAAGACAAAAUUCUACUCAUAAAGCAAAAGAUAAAGCAAAAUUUGUGAAGUAUAACUGAAAUUAUUUCAUACUUUUAAAGAACUACCAGUAGACUGUUUCGUAGCUGAUGCACUGCCAUUUUCAGAAUAUAGAUAUCAUCCAGGGGCAAUUGAUUAGGAACUGACAGUUUAUCACCAGCCCAGUAGCCAGAACAUCGGUAUUGGGAUGCCCGGGUUUGGCUGUAUUUAUGGCUUUUUGGGGGUUUUAUCAGAAAGAAACGGUUGUAUCCCGUUCAGACAAAAGGCGUCAUAUUGAACAUGUUGAAUACGGUAUCAUUUGGUUGUAUAAUACACCUACAUAUUCUUGUAUUGGCAAUUUAUUUUUUUCCAUAAAAAGUACGUGAUUAAUUUCAUUAUGACUCGUCAGUGUAUUUUAACAGGAGUAAACCGCACGGGUGUUACUAUUGCAACAUGAACAUGUGUUCGUAGAUCAUUUUGAUUUUCUGUUUAAUGUACUGUGCUCUAUGGAGUGUCUUUUCGGUCGCUAUAUUCUUUGACAUGAGGUGUUAUUAUGUAAGUCAAGCCAUAAUUUGACUACAUGUUCAAAAUAUUGUUGUAUAAAUAAUUUUAUCUAAUUCAUCUUUAAUUAUGAGGUUUCGUGUCAACAAUGAUUAAAAUGCAAGACAGUCCAUAUACUUUAAACAACUUAAACAUUCUCAUUUAAAAUUAAAGAUCGGCCAAAUAAUGUGCCUAAAGCUUGAUAACAGUUUAAAUAGCCUUCCACUUUCGUCUAUGGUGUCUGUGGUUUUCAUAUUCAAUGGAAUAUUUGUCGACAUAAAGUUAUAAGAGAUACAUCUAAGUAAUAUAAAAAGUGGACAACCCGUUUACUUGUUUUAUUAUGUCUUUGUCUUUCCAAUAUUAGGAUGCAAACGCUCAUGUUUGGCUUUAUAAAUAUUUUGAUAUGAGUGUCACUGAUGAGUCUCAUGUAGACGAAACGCGCGUCUGACGUACUAAAUUACAAUCCUGGUACCUUUUAUAACUAUUUACACCACUGGGUCGAUGAAACUGCUGGUAGACAUUUCGUCCGCGAGGGCAUCACCAGCCCAGGAGUCAACACUUCGGUGUUGACAUGAAUAUCAAUAAUGAGUUUUUUUUUGUUAUAAAUUCCCUGUUUACAAAACUUUGAAUUUUUCGAAAAACUAAAGAUUUUCUUAUCCCAGGCAUAGAUUACCUUAACUGUAUUUGGCACAACUUUUUGGAAUUUUGGAUCCUCAAUGCUGUUCAAACUUGUACUUGUUUUGCUUUAUAAAUAUUUUGAUAUGAGCGUCACUGAUGAGUCUUAUGUACAUGUAGACGAAACGCGCAUCUGGCGUACUAAAUUAUAAUCCUGGUACCUUUGAUAAUUAUUCAAGGCAAAUCUGGAAACGCUCGUUUCAGACGCACGAAAUUAAGACAACACUAUUAUUUUCAUGAAGCAAAACAACGCUAUAUUAAAGUGAUAAUCAUUAGAAGAUCAACAUAUUCAUUGAACUAUCUUAAUGGUCGGUGUUUUAAUUUUCCACCGACAUGUUUCCCUGGUCUUAGAUUUUAAGAUACAAGUAUGGUCGUUUGAUCCGUUAUUUUUCGAUUAUGGGCUAAACCCCAUUUUGAGAGAGUGCGGAUUUUCAUAGAAGGUGAUACUUGCAUGCAAGGGGACACUUACAUUUUCGACGUACCCGCUCUCGCUUCUUUUUAAGUUAACGUGAGUCCCUUAAUUUUAGAUGUUUGUCUCUUUUGAAUCGAUUUAUUAGAUUUAAACAUCGAUAAACUCCCCUCAUCUUAAUCUAUUCGAACCAUAUUGUAAAGUUAAUUUAUAUUUUUUUUUCAUUUAGCACGAAGAAUGAGAAUGGAAUAGCUGUUAACGAAUGUGAACUUGAAACAUUGACAGAGAAAAUAUAGAAGUGACUUUAUAAGGGCCAUUCAUUCGUAACAAAGUGUGGUUAUAUAUUCCCUUUCAAUAUAUAUAUAUAUCACUGAUACAUAUAACUAGUCUUAUUUAUAUAACAUUGAAACAACCUAUAUAAGGGUAUAAUCGGUAUACCAUUCGUAAAUUAUUUCCUUUUCAAAUCUUUUAACUUAAGAAAGUAAAAUCAAAAUAUAAAUUGUACAUGUAACGUCCUAAAUUAUAAUUAAUGAAGAUUUGAUUACAAAAUGAGUAACCAAGAGUACUCUCAAAUCUGUAAUUAAGGUAGCACAAUACAAAGAUUUUUUCACUCCCAAUGAGACAACUUUAAACUUAUGUAAUUUAUUUCAUCCUUCUUUAUAUUUUAUAAAUGAGAUACCAAAAGAAAGAAGAAAGAUUAAUCUUUCAAAUUGUGAUAAUUUCAUUAUGACAUAAUUAUUACAUAAUUAAUUAUUAUGUAAUUAGUUGCUAUAUUGUGAUGUCCACACUUGAAUGAAUUUAGCGUCUUUGUUCUUCAUAGCAUCCCAAAAUAUUUUAUAGAUUCUUGUACAACACAGCUUGAUCUCCAAAACCGUUUCUCAGAUUUCCAAAAACAUCAAUAGAACAAAUUUUAUACCCAAUUGAAUUUAGUGGUCUCUUAUGAACUGAUGUUGCAAACUUCAUUGAAGAUUUAUGAGAGAAUGAAAUAGAAUAGGAAAAAUCUGAGACACAGUUUUGGAGGUCAAACUAUGAUGUGCAAGAAUCUGUAAAAUAUUUUGGGAUGCUAAGAAUAACAAAGAAGCUAAAUUCAUUCAAGUAUGGACAUCACAGUAUGGCAACUAAUUACAUAACAAUUAUGUAAUAAUUAUGUCAUAAUGAAAUUAUCACAAUUUGAAAGAUUAAUCCUUCUUCUAUCUUUUGGUACCUCAUUUAUAAAAUUUAAAGAAAGAUGAGUUACCUUAAGUGCCCUUUUUUGUUGGAAAUAACCAAACACAUCAAACGAACGAAAAACAAUUGUCCUUUUACUGACUUGGUAUAGGCAUUUCCUUAAAUUUAAAACGGAGGAUUAGACCUGCAAUCAUAGCUAGCAAAACCUCUUACUUGUAUGACAGUUGCAUAUAAUUCCAUUAUGUUGACAACAAUGUAUGAGCUAAAUGUGUAAAAAUAUCAAAAAAUAAGGUACAACAGUCACCAUUGUGUUCUAGUCUAAACUAGUUAAAAAAAAUAGCAAUAUAGACGCUAUCUACAGACAAAGUUCAUCAGCUAAACAAUAUAGAAAUGUAUAGAUUUAAGUCCAUGCAUGUCACAUUAACUCAAAUGGCGGUUGUAUAAAUACGGAGCCACACCUAUAGCAUUUUUACCAAAAUUCACUAAAUGGUAAUGUUUUAAAGUUUUGAAGGAACACAAUAUUACUCAAAAGAAAUUGUCUCAGAUCGGUUUUAAGCACAAUAAAGUUGUACAAGACUAAGAGAAUAAGCACUAACGGAUAUUAGUGCAAGGCGCAUGGCCAAACGAAACUGAGCAUUGAAGUAUUUCAUCCCAGCUUAAAAUGUCAACGGUAUUUUAAAAUCUUAAUUAAUGAACGAUGUUAAUAUACGUAUGUCUCGUCUGGACAGUUCACAGUUUACAAAUUAUCAAAUCUUACCUCAUCCAAAACACUUUUAAAUAACUGUACAUUUAAGAACUAUUGCGAGGUUUUUAUUAUUGCUAUUGAUAUAAUUAUGUGAAAACC
rnacentral:lncRNA from 1 species